CCUGUCGCCCAGCCUAGAGUGCAGUGGUGCAAUCUCGGCUCACUGCAACCUCCGCUUUCUGAGUUCAAGCAGUUUUCCUCCCUCAGCCUCCUGAGUAGCAGGGAUUACAGGCGCGUGCCACCAUGCCAGAUUAAGUUUUUGUAUUUUUAAGAGAGACAGAAUUUCACCAUGUUGGCCAGGCUAGUUUCAAACUCCUGACCUCAAGUGAUCGCCCACUUCAGCCUUCUAAAGUGCUGGGAUUACAGGCGUGAGCCACUGCACCCAGCCUAUUCUGUGCUUUUAAACAAACAAAACACACACACACACACACACACACACACACACACACACACCCCUACAUAUAUUUAAUUUCUCUUCCUAAGCCUAAGAGCUUUAACAACACAUUGAAGCAACCUAAUUUCUUGCUUGUGGCCAUUUACAUUUACAGGGUACGUAGUAUGUUGAACUUGGGACAAAACAGAAACUAUGAGGUAGGAAUCUGAUUCGAAUUUUGAAAUAAAAUAUUUGUUACUAAUUAUUUCCCUUCUAACUUCUAAAGAGUAAAAAUAAAAUUUAUGGCCGCCAUAUUACAGAAAGAGCCUGCUUUUAUUUUUAAGCAUGCGAAAUCACAAUAGUAUUCAAAAUUGUGUGGCUCUUGAAUCAAACCAAAGUUUCUAUUUUUUCACUGUCAGCAUUCACAGGUAGAGAAGUGUAAAGUCUUAGGAAAUACUAUUUCUAUUCUCAAUUUUAAAUUUUCUCAGAAUUCUGUCCAUGAAGGCAAAUGAAUACUGACAAGCUCUAUUUCCAAAAAAGGUGGUAAAACAAGUGUAUUUAGAAACCAGUAGUAAGAAUUGAAAUUAGAAAAUUGUGAAAAGACAUUACUUUCCAAAUGUUCUAAAGGUACUUAAAAGAUUAACUCAGGGCAUGUCUUGUAAUUUCAUCAGCUGUUUGACUAAGUUUUAAUUAUAUUUAUUUUAAUUACAUUAAAAAUCCACUUUUUACUUCUGUGUCACAACUUUUGUAUUACUUGAUAUUUUAAAAGAUGAAUCUCAUUGAAUGUAAAAUAAUGUCAGGUUACAUUAAUGGUAAAAAAAAAAAAAAAACCAAAAAAAAAAACCCAGUGACCACCACAAAAAAAAAAAAAAAAAAAAAAAAAAAAAAAAAAAAAAAAAAGAAUAGAACCAAAA